GUGGACAGCAUGCCCAUGGCCUGCUGGGUGGCCAGAGUCCUUUUGUCCUGUGGUCCAUAUAAGAGGGUCUGGAUCUGGAGACACUGUAGAACACCAAGCAGCUAUCAUGAGGCUAUGGAAAUGUCGCUGAGAGCAGGAAACUAAGGUCUCCCUUGAAUGAGAGAAAGAUGACCUCAUUCUUAGGCCCUGCUGUGAUGGAAUUAGCACGCUCCUGGGGUGUCUCCUAGUGACUGACCUUUGGUUUGGAUGUUCUGAGGGAUCUAGGCAAAAGUGAACAGUUUUAGCACUAUUUCACAAAACUCUCUGUGACUAUCUGUAUGCAAAAAAUAGAUUUAAAAGUAGUAUUUUUAAAAAUAAAGGCAAGAACCUUGGUACUGACCAGAGGAUGGGCUCCAGUUUCUAUUUUUAAAUGUGGCCCUUGCUAUAGCCCGGAAAAGAUUUAAAAAAAUAGUUUUGUUUUUUUGUAAACACAUACUCUACUUUUAUUAAUAUAUAGGCUUUCUAUACUCUUUACUACACAGCAAUGUCUUAGUUAUUAGGAACCAAAUAUUCAGCUUAUGGACUACCCAGGGCUGGCUUUGGCUUGAUUUCUCCCUUCUGCUUACUUUAAGUCUUGCCAUUUGAUUGCUUGUAGUAGGCUAGGGCAAAUCAAGGAGAGGAGAAAGAUUAAAGUUGUGCCCAAAAUGGCCAAAAUAAUCUUGAGAAAGAAUGAGGUGGAGAGGUGGAGGAACUUGCUUUACUGGAUGCCAAAGACCCUUUUAUUUUAUUUUUUUUAAAUAAAGUAAUUAAGACAGCAUGUUUGUCACCCGGGGCAGACAAAAAGACCAGUGGAACAGGGCAGAGCCCAGGCCUUGACAGAUGACAGAAAUGGCCUUGCGGGAUUGGUGAGGAAGAGGUGGGCUAGUCAAUAAAUGGUACUGGGACCGCUGGUUUUCCAAACGGAAGAAAAUGGAUCACUACCCCAAAUCAAACACAAAUAUUAAGCUCAAGAAAGAUUUGAAGGACUAAGUGUGAAAUGCAAAACUUGGAGCUUUUAGAUGAAAAUACUGGAAAAUACAUUUUUUUUUUUGACGGAGUCUCACUCUGUCGCCCAGACUGGAGUGCAAGUGGGGUGAUUUUGGCUCACUGCAACCUCCACCUCCUGGGUUCAUGUGAUUUUCCUGCCUCAGCUUCCCGAGUAGCUGAGAUUACAGGUGCCCGCCACCACACUCAGCUAAUUUUUGCAUUUUUAGUAGAGAUGAGGUUUCACCAUGUUGGCCAGGCUGGUCUCAAACUCCUGACUGCAGGUGAUCCACCUGCCUUGGCCUCCCAAAGUGCGGGGAUUAUAGGAGUGAGCCACCAUGCCUGACCAGAAAAUACGAUCUUGAGGUAGGGAAGUAUUUCUUAGACAAGAUCUAGACAAAGCAAAAGUGAAAGACUGAUAAAAUGUAAAUAUAUGAAAACCUAAAAUAUUUGUGCACCAAAAUUCACCAUAAGCAAGUAGAAUGAGAGGAGAAAAAUUCUGAGGAAUUUUUCUGAGGAAAGAUUCUUGCAGUGCACAGAAAUGAGAAAGGCUUAACAUUCAAAAUACAUGAAGAAUUCCUAUAAGGUAAUGAGAAAUACCAAACCAAACCAAAACCUCUCAAUAGAAUAACACUCAAAAGAUAUAAACAGAUUAUUCAAAGAGUUGAAAUCUGAUGAAAUAAACAUGCUUAAUCUCAUUAACAACCAGAAAUACAAACUAAAACCUCAAUGAGGGGGAUCUGUGAAAAUGUGCAGCUGUUACUCAGGGCCAUUUUCAUAGCAGCAUCCUGCAGAAGUAGAUUGGUGGUGUCUCCCUUCCUCCCUUAACCUCCUGCCUAAGGUCCCAGAAUUGCAUCAUAACAUCUAUUGAGGAAUUUCAGAUGAUGAAGGUACUGAUGGAACACAUCCUAUUUAUUAAUGGAGACAGUGCAGCAAGGACUGCAGCUAGAGGGUCAUUUAAGUUACAAGGCUCUGUGACUCCAUAACAGAAAAUUGAGAAAAGCAUACUAUUCAUUUCUGGUAAGAUUCCAAGCCAGGCUCGUCAAGCUAUUACUUGUAUUUUGUACUUACAUGAAAUGAAAAAGCUAAAGAAAGGUAAAUUUUAAAAAAUUGCUCUAAUGCUGAGGAUCUGAAAUCACUACUCUUCUUAACACACAUUAUCCAAUGCCAGAUUACGUCCACGGGGGAGAAAUUACUCAGAAACUUGAAAAUUGUGCUUCUGUUUUCAUGUCAGUUCUCAAGGCUGAUACUAAGAGAAAAGAUGACUUCGGAAGCCUUACUACUUGGAAGCGUGAAAUGUGAUAAAUCUUUCAAGAAAUACAAGUAUGCUUUCAUUUACCAACCAUUACAAGGCAGGCAGAAAUGACUAACUUGGGGGAAUUGAAGGAAUAAACCAAAACGUAAUUCAUCAGACAGGCUUCCCCUACAGAAACACAGUCAGGGGUAGUGGGUGGUUUUUCUGAGCCACCCAGAUACCAGCCUCAUCCUGGCUGGACCCACGUCUUUGUCCACAUUCGCCACUUCCUGAAGCAGGUGUCUGCUGAACACCAGCAACACGCCAACCCUGUGGCUACUUCGGGGAUGGAGUGGAGAAUGGGCAGAAGUGAGCCUUGCUCUCAGGGGGCUUCUAAUGGAGUAGCGGAGAAAGAUAUUUUUAAAAUACAUAAAUAAACGUGUCAACAACUUGU
rnacentral:antisense_RNA from 1 species